UGCUAUGAUGACGAUGAUGUCAUAAUAUCUCGUUAAUCUGAUUUCAACUGAGGAAAAUCCUCCAAUCCAUUCUUACUAGACUGAGC